rnacentral:rRNA from 1 species
UACGAAGGGGGCUAGCGUUGCUCGGAAUCACUGGGCGUAAAGGGUGCGUAGGCGGGUCUUUAAGUCCGGGGUGAAAUCCUGGAGCUCAACUCCAGAACUGCCUUUGAUACUGAGGAUCUUGAGUUCGGGAGAGGUGAGUGGAACUGCGAGUGUAGAGGUGAAAUUCGUAGAUAUUCGCAAGAACACCGGUGGCGAAGGCGGCUCGCUGGCCCGAUACUGACGCUGAGGCACGAAAGCGUGGGGAGCAAACAGG